GGUGAGUAACACGUGGGUAACCUGCCUGUAAGACUGGGAUAACUCCGGGAAACCGGGGCUAAUACCGGAUAAUUUUUUUCUUCGCAUGAAGGAGAAUUGAAAGAUGGCUUCGGCUAUCACUUACAGAUGGACCCGCGGCGCAUUAGCUAGUUGGUGAGGUAAUGGCUCACCAAGGCGACGAUGCGUAGCCGACUUGAGAGGGUGAUCGGCCACACUGGGACUGAGACACGGCCCAGACUCCUACGGGAGGCAGCAGUAGGGAAUCUUCCGCAAUGGACGAAAGUCUGACGGAGCAACGCCGCGUGAGUGAUGAAGGUUUUCGGAUCGUAAAACUCUGUUGUUAGGGAAGAAUAAGUAUCGUUCGAAUAGGGCGGUACCUUGACGGUACCUAACCAGAAAGCCACGGCUAACUACGUGCCANCAGCCGCGGUAAUACGUANGUGGCAAGCGUUGUCCGGAAUUAUUGGGCGUAAAGCGCGCGCAGGCGGUUUCUUAAGUCUGAUGUGAAAUCUUGCGGCUCANCCGCAAGCGGCCAUUGGAAACUGGGAGACUUGAGUGCAGAAGAGGAGAGUGGAAUUCCACGUGUAGCGGUGAAAUGCGUANAGAUGUGGAGGAACACCAGUGGCGAANGCGACUCUCUGGUCUGUAACUGACGCUGAGGAGCGAAAGCGUGGGGAGCGAACAGGAUUAGAUACCCUGGUAGUCCACGCC
rnacentral:rRNA from 1 species